rnacentral:misc_RNA from 1 species
AGUAUGCUGUUUGCGAUUUUCUUACAUCUUGUCCUGAGAAUAGUAUAAUAACACAAGAUUGUUUUGUCUGUUAUGAACUUAAUUUUGUAAUUAUAGUUGGUGUAGAUAUAAUGAGGUUGUCGUUUAAAAAUGUAGGGCUAAAGCAUAGGGAAAAAUGGUUAGUAGGUACUUGAUUUGGAUCAAAUGUCCAUAAACUUGAUCAAAUUGAAGACCUACUUUAAGUAACUGGGGGGCGAUGGAUGCUGUAGCAGUGUUGUGUAAGUGUAUGUGUUAAAGAUUUAAUGUACAUGUUAUGAGAGGACCUUACUUGGGCAGUUAAAAAAAAGGAAAAAAGGAAAAAUAAUAUUUGGGCUAGCAAUGCUUUAUACAUUUCAAAAGUUUGCAUGUGGAUGUGAACUUUCUGUCCUCUCCUAAUCCCAUAGCCAUUGGAUACUAUUAGUAAUUGAAAUCAAAUUUGUCUAUCAUUUCUGUAGGACUGAUUUUAAUCCAAUGAUAUUAUGGUUAGAGAUGUAAAUAGAUGUGACUCGCUUAGUAUUAUGAAACAAUCAUCCAGUGGAGUUUAGUUGACAUUGCCAUUUGCCAAGAACUUUGCACUUUGCGGCCUACACAUAUCAAACUAUCAGUCCACCUGAGAUAAAU